GCCUCCUUGGCUCAGUUGGCUAGAGCGCAGGUCUCAUACCAGAGUAUGAUGUGCUCAGAGCACAGUGAUCCUGAGGUCGCAAGUUCGAGCCUUGCAGGGGGCA